UAUUUUUGCAGUUUUACAUUUAUAUUAUGGGUAUAUGAUCUUCAGCUGUAAAUUGUUUUCAAAUUUUUUGUAAUAAGAAUGAAGUUUGUCCGUUAGUUUUUUUCCAUAUCUGAAUUAAUCAGUGUUGGCCGCGUACUAGUUGUCAUAUAUAAAUUUUAGUACUUCUUAUGAUGACAAUACAGCAGUUUACUCAAGGAAUGGAGACGCAUGGAUUCACUUAUCUCACACGUGGGAAAGUAUCAACAUCCUACAUUAAUGGACUGGAGGAGGUCGAGAAUAUUGCAGGUUUAAUGCAGUCUACGUAUAAUAGUUACUCAAAGUAAUUAAAAUUCAAUUGAUAGAAGUGCAUCAAAAAGAUGGUGUCAUGAAACCCUGACCAUUACAUAAAAAGGCAGUACGGCAGAUCACUCAAGUCACGCUGAUACAUGAAUUCACAUUUCUCACGCGUGGGAUAGUAUCAACAGCCUACGUUGCAAAUGGACUAGAAGAUGCUGAGAAUAAUACGUGUUAUAUGCAAUAUGGCAGUACGGCAGUUCACUUAAGGAAUUCUGACGCAUGGAUUCACUUAUCUCACACGUGGGAAAGUAUCAACAUCCUAUGUUGCAAAUGGACUAGAAGAUGCUGAGAAUAAUACGUGUUAUAUGCAAUAUGGCAGUACGGCAGUUCACUUAAGGAAUUCUGACGCAUGGAUUCACUUAUCUCACACGUGGGAAAGUAUCAACAUCCUAUGUUGCAAAUGGACUAGAAGAUGCUGAGAAUAAUACGUGUUAUAUGCAAUAUGGCACUACGGCAGAUCACACAAGGCAUGCUGAGACAUGGAUUCACAUUUC